AUUGAACGCCGGCGGCAGGCCUAACACAUGCAAGUCGAACGGUAACAGAAAGCAGCUUGCUGCUUUGCUGACGAGUGGCGGACGGGUGAGUAAUGUCUGGGAAACUUCCUGAUGGAGGGGGAUAACUACUGGAAACGGUAGCUAAUACCGCAUAACGUCGCAAGACCAAAGAGGGGGACCUUCGGGCCUCUUGCCAUCGGAUGUGCCCAGAUGGGAUUAGCUAGUAGGUGGGGUAACGGCUCACCUAGGCGACGAUCCCUAGCUGGUCUGAGAGGAUGACCAGCCACACUGGAACUGAGACACGGUCCAGACUCCUACGGGAGGCAGCAGUGGGGAAUAUUGCACAAUGGGCGCAAGACUGAUGCAGCCAUGCCGAGUGUAUGAAGAAGGCCUUCGGGUUGUAAAGUACUUUCAGCGGGGAGGAAGGGAGUAAAGUUAAUACCUUUGCUCAUUGACGUUACCCGCAGAAGAAGCACCGGCUAACUCCGUG
rnacentral:rRNA from 1 species